GACGAACGCUGGCGGCGUGCCUAAUACAUGCAAGUCGAACGCACUCUCGUUUAGAUUGAAGGAGCUUGCUCCUGAUUGAUAAACAUUUGAGUGAGUGGCGGACGGGUGAGUAACACGUGGGUAACCUGCCCUAAAGUGGGGGAUAACAUUUGGAAACAGAUGCUAAUACCGCAUAAAACCUAAACACCGCAUGGUGUAGGGUUGAAAGAUGGUUUCGGCUAUCACUUUAGGAUGGACCCGCGGUGCAUUAGUUAGUUGGUGAGGUAAAGGCUCACCAAGACCGUGAUGCAUAGCCGACCUGAGAGGUAAUCGGCCACACUGGGACUGAGACACGGCCCAGACUCCUACGGGACGGCAGGCCAGUAGGGAAUCUU
rnacentral:rRNA from 1 species